rnacentral:rRNA from 1 species
CCUACGGGUGGCAGCAGUGAGGAAUAUUGGUCAAUGGACGAGAGUCUGAACCAGCCAAGUAGCGUGAAGGAUGACUGCCCUAUGGGUUGUAAACUUCUUUUAUAAAGGAAUAAAACGAGGCACGUGUGCCUUUUUGUAUGUACUUUAUGAAUAAGGAUCGGCUAACUCCGUGCCAGCAGCCGCGGUAAUACGGAGGAUCCGAGCGUUAUCCGGAUUUAUUGGGUUUAAAGGGAGCGUAGAUGGGUUGUUAAGUCAGUUGUGAAAGUUUGCGGCUCAACCGUAAAAUUGCAGUUGAUACUGGCAGUCUUGAGUACAGUUGAGGUAGGCGGAAUUCGUGGUGUAGCGGUGAAAUGCUUAGAUAUCACGAAGAACCCCGAUUGCGAAGGCAGCUUACUGAACUGUGACUGACAUUGAUGCUCGAAAGUGUGGGUAUCAAACAGGAUUAGAUACCCGUGUAGUC